GCUGCGCCGGCCGGGCGCGCGGAGGGGGGCGGGGACGCGGAAGGCGCGGCGGCCGGGGAGGCUGCGGCGGCGGCGGCGCGGUGAAGCGAGAGCCGACGCGCGGGGCGAGGGGACGCCCGACGGCGUCCGAGGGCGCGGUGGCGCGAGGCCUGAGGGAGGGGACGCGAUGCUGGAGACCCUGCGCGAGCGGCUGCUGAGCGUACAGCAGGAUUUCACCUCCGGGCUGAAGACUUUAAGUGAUAAGUCAAGAGAAGCAAAAGUGAAAGGCAAACCCAGGACUGCUCCACGCUUACCGAAGUACUCUGCUGGACUAGAAUUACUUAGCAGGUAUGAGGAUGCGUGGGCUGCACUUCACAGAAGAGCCAAGGAGUGUGCAGACGCUGGCGAGCUGGUGGACAGCGAGGUGGUCAUGCUGUCUGCCCACUGGGAGAAGAAGAGGACCAGCCUGAACGAGCUGCAGGGGCAGCUGCAGCAGCUGCCCGCUCUCCUGCAGGACUUGGAGUCUCUGAUGGCAAGCCUGGCUCAUUUAGAGACAAGUUUUGAAGAGGUAGAGAACCAUUUGCUGCACCUGGAGGACUUGUGUGGGCAGUGUGAGUUAGAAAGACACAAGCAGGCCCAGGCCCAACACCUGGAGAGCUACAAGAAAAGUAAGAGGAAGGAGCUUGAAGCCUUCAAAGAGCAGUAUCUUCUCAAACCCUGACAAGCAUUGCCACCAGUGGACCCCGAGUGUUCGGCUGCCUGGCUAUGGAGGAAAUUUCUCAUUGAAACCACCACACUGGUCAUAGGGCGCCUCUAGGAAAGCAACACACAGGCUUGCAAGCAGCCAGUGUCCUUCCAGUACGCCUGCCAGGCGCUCGUUACUAAUUCCAGAGACUCUUGACAAGAAAAAGAAGAAGAGAGUUAUCGCUGACUCUCCUGUGGUCUGCAGCAUGCUGGUUACAACUCCUGUGCGCUCGCUCACACUGACCUACUGUGUGCCUGAAGGCUCUCCAGCAUGUUGUUUAUGCUCGUAUUACCUGUGUGCCUCACUUGUUAGGACAAAGGUCCUAAAGGCUAUUCCUACUAUGGCUGUACCGAACAGACCCUGUGUUGUCAACAUUUCUAUUUUACCCACUGUGGUGGCUAAGCUCAUGGCCAGUUGUUGAAGAUGCUGCUCUGUGACCACGUGAUGGCAUGUAUUGUCACACUCUCAUGGCUUUUACGUAAUUGUGGUCCCCUAUGCAUGGGUGUUGCUUUUCACUAGUAGUUUGAAUGAAAUAAGAUUUGAAAUCCUCAUCAAAUGCCUCUUUGCUUCUUGCUUGUUUUGAUUGAGCAGUUUAGUAUUUCUUAUAUAAUAAAGAGAUGAAAAAAGCCCCGUCAAGCUAACAAUAAAAGACAAGCAGGCACAUGUUAUAUAAUAAAGUGUCAGCUUGACUUGCGUCUCCCCAUGAAGCAUUUUGUUGUAGCGUAUUGUUCUCAGAGACCAACUGUUUGCAAAAGGUUAGCUAGUAUUACAUAUUGCUUGAUAUAGUAAUUCAACUUGGGAUGAAAUCUCUUAUUUAUAUGCACAUUUCUAAUUUUGUGCAGCAUCUACACCAGGUCUAUCCACAGAACAAUUUAUGCUCUUGAAUGUGACCAAACUCAAAAUUUGCCUUAUAGGUACGCUUUAAGUGUAUUUUAAGAAUCACCCUUGCGGCCGGGCAGUGGUGGCACACACCUUUGAUCCCAGCACUUGGGAGGCAGAGGCAGGUGGAUUUCUGAGUUCAAGGCCAGCCUGGUCUACAGAGUGAGUUCCAGGACAGCCAGGGCUACACAGAGAAACCCUGUCUUAAAAACCAAAAAAAAAAAAAAAAAAAAAAAAAAAAGACUCACAUUCACAGAGGCAUGCACUUAUACUCCAGUGUGUUAGGAGGCGGGGGUAGGAGAGUGAGUCCCUGAACCCAGGAGCACAACAUCACCAACCUAACCAAAGAUGAGGAGAGCCUGUCUUAAGAAAAGGGGAAGGAAAGAAAAACGUUUGCAUUUGAAUGUUUUGCCAUUACUUUAGAAGUACAAUUAGCCUAUAAUAAGAAAAUUAACUAUUCUUCCAAAAUAUUAAUGGAUAAAAGGUUUAAAAAUUAACCCAAUCAUGUUAUAAUCCUAUUUUUUAAUGUUGCCUUUGUUCUUGAACCUUUUGAGAGUGCAGAGGAACAAGAGGUUUUACUUUCUGCAGUUUUACUCAGCUUAGUCGUCACACUUGGAGGCCCUCUCUAAGUUGAAGAAGUGAGUGACUUGGAGGGAAUGAAGCACCAGAUUAGAAACAGAGUUGGUGUCAUCCCAGAGUCUGGCUUCUCCCUCUGCUUGCUGAGGCUGAUGUGCUCAGUUUAUCAUGCUCUUCUGUUGCACGAGGCAGAUGUCUGCUGUGGUAUGAAAACUGUUGUUUCAAUGCUAGUAGUGAGAAGACUUUUAAUUCCCCAAAUGCUGCAUUCCCUUAAGCUUGGUGAGGAGUUUCAAGUAUUAAAAACAGUAGAGAAAGGAUGGUUUGGUUUUUAUUUUUUAUUUUAUUUUUUUUUUAGAGCUAGAGUUUGUUAAUAGGGCUGGACAAAGGUCCUUUAUACAUGCUAGAAAAGCAGUCUCCUUCUGAACUCUGCCCAUCCCUUUGUAAUUAUGCUUUAGGACAGUCUCACCAAAUUAGCUAGGCUUGCCUCGAAAUGCAUGCUCCUUCUGUCUCAGUAGCUGGGAUGGUAGGUGUAUGCUGUCAUAUCCAGCAAGAAAAGAAUUUCAUUUAAUUUUUUAAAGAGACUGUCUUACUAUGCUGAGUAGACCAGGCUGGCCAUGAAUACACAGAGGUCUAUCUGCCUCUACCUCCUCAGUGAUGGGAUGAAAGGCACUUGGCAGCAUACCUGUUAGUUUUAUUAUUGUUUGUGUGAGGCUGUGUGUGUGGAGACCAGAGCACAGCUCUGUGGAGUCUGGUCACUCUUUCCACCUUUACAUGGGCCCCAGGGAUCAAACUCAGGUAUUUAGGUUAAUUUUAUUUUCAUGAAACAAUAUUUUGGUAGCAUGAAUGUAUAUAUAUCAUGUGUAUGCAGUGCCCAUAGAGGUCAGAAGAGGGUGUUGGCUCCUCUGGAACUGAAGUUACAAGGUAGUGAGCUGCCGUGUAGCUAACAAACCAGAUGCUCUGUUACAGCAGCAAGUGGGCUGAAUUGCUGAGCAAUCUCUUCAGCCCCUAGUUUUAAAAGUAGGCUUUUAUUCCAUGUAUAAAUCCUAAAAAUUACUCUUAAGAUUUUAAGUCUAAAAAUGUAUCACUGCAAAGGAACAAAGAUUUACAGUUAGCAAUUCCUCUCUGAUUGUAUAAUACUUGACUUAGCAUGGUUUUAUAUAUUACGUUUGCCUUGUUUGUCAAGGAACCACCAGACCCUUUUCUCUGGAAGCUACACCAGCUGGACCUGUCCUUGUUGAAUACUUAGAGGAGACAUUAGCCACUCUCUCGGAUACCGAUCUCCAUAAAUACAACAGCUAGCUUAGCUAGGGAGAGUGUCUGCUCACACAGCCACCUCUGCAGUGUACUGCUCUCUGUGCUCAAAUUAAAUACUGGAUAAAAAUGGAACCUCACAGUUAAAGGCAAUUAUAAUAAAUGAGGAUUGCAACUCUUUGGGAAACUUAAUAGAGUUAGCCUUUAAAAUUUGCCAUAAAUCAUAUAGUCAGAAAUUAGAAAGAAUUCAGAGGAAGGGUUCUGUACAUGAACUAUACCAUCUAUAUUUCUGUUCUUUUUUUUUUAAUCUAGUGCAGUGUGGGUAAUUUAUAUAAGAAAUUUCAGUCAGAAGAUAAUGCUUACUGAGUAUGGAAUUAAAACUGUGGGUGGGGCUGGUGAGAUGGCUCAGUGGCUGAGAGCCCAGGGGAGCCAUUUUCAUUCAAACCAACAUAUCACCUGACUGGAGACUUGAGAGAUAUUAGGAUUCUCACUUGCUGGGUGACUGUGAAAUGUACCUUGUGCUUACAGUGACAUAGCAACAUUUAGUGUGCUUCAAAUCAAACUAAUAGUAGUACAUGUUGAGCUUGCGUAACAGCUGCUUCAGUCCAGGAGCUGCUCCAACAUGUGAGGCAAAGCUAUUUUAGCUGCUGUUUGGGAAUACUAAGUGAUAAAGACUCAAGUUGGAUGACAGAACCACCUUUUACCCUCAUGGAUCUGACACACUGCUAGAGCUUACAGGAUAGAAAGGCAAACGUAGUUUGAGUAUUACCUACAAGAGGGGGAAUAGACACUUAACACGGGGUAAUCAACUGGAGCUCUCGCUCAGACUGACCGGUACGUCCCUGCAGGGAAGGAGGACAGGAAGGACAGUGGGAAGGGUGAGAACACUGCAGGAAUGUACGGACAUUUAUUUCAAGAACUGAAGCUAAAGUUUGGAUUUCUUGUUCACUGAAAGAACUACAAGUAAUUUGUCAUCACCGAAGCAUCUGAUGCGUGGGAAGAAGUGAGGGACAGUUGGACACAGGGGGAGCAAGUGGUACAUGACGGCCUUCCUGUCAGGCAUACGCAGGGCUUUGUGGUUAGACCAGUGAUCUCCACAGAGGGAACAGGGAGGGAGGCCCACGUAUGUUCACACGCAUGCAUGCAUGUGUGUGUGUGUGUGUGUGUGUGUGUGUGUCCGCACGUGCAUGUGUGCUUGAGUAACCAGAGGACAGCCUGUGAACUCUUUCCUUCCCACCUCGUGAGUACUGAACUGGAGUCCUCAGGCUUAUUGGCUGGCAUCUUCACUUGGUUAGCUUUGUUCCUCACUUCUAGAACUUGUCUCAUUUUUCUUUCUUUCUGCGAUCUUUUUAGAUGUUAAUUUUGUACGCUGUUUGUUCUUGAGGCAGUUUUUCAUGUAAUUCAGGCUGGCCUCAUCACUGUAGAUGACUGAGCUUCUGAACCUCCUGCCUGACUCUGAGUGCUGGGAUUGGAGGUGCUCCCCACUGCGUCACAUCUGUGUGACGCUGGGCAUCAAAUGCGUUCCAAGGCAAGAACUCUACAAACUGAGCUACCAUCUCAAUACAGUACCUGUAUUUGUAAUAACAUUAUAUAUAGAGGUUGAGUUAUAUAUGUACAUUAUCAAAUUUGAAAGGCUUAUGUUAAAGAUUGUUGUUCCUUGUGGGAGUGCAUGCUCAAGGGAGCGUGGAGGUUCAUCUGAACCCAAGGAGUUCCAGUUAGAACUCACAGGGUAGAUCUGCUUUAUAAUUUCUGGGAUCUCUUAGGAGGGUAGGGUGGAGAAGAGCAGAUCCAAGAUCUGGGAGCUUAGGGUGAGCUGCACGUGCUGGCAUGUGCCUGUGAGCUCAGCUCCUUCCUUCAGAUGCUCCAGCCCAUGAGUCCACUAGUCUGGCAGCAAAGCAAGAACCAGUCUCAAAUUAACAAAACAACAAAAGUAAGGCUAAAGGAAAAAAGGAGAAUGGGAGAGAGAGUGUUAGGUUAAAGGAAGUUGUUUUGUUUGUUUGUUUGUUUUGUUUUGUUUUUUUAGUGUAUUUGCCUAAAAGGGGAAAAGAGAAUGUAGAAAGGUUGAUUGAAGAAGAACAGCAGAGAACGUUUAUGGGCUAUGCAGUUCUAAAGCAGGGCUCGGCUGCCAGUUACUGUAACUGUCAGAAGUGUGACAUUUGAGGGCUUGCUGUACAUUCCAAGCCACUGGGUAGUGCUACUGAAUUCCAGGGAGCCUUUAUUAAAGCUACAUUUAAAUGUGAUGGGGGAAAUUUAAAGAUGCCUAUGUAUUAUAAAGCAAACCUAUCCUUUAUUUUAAUUUGUCCACCUUCAGACAUUAAUGUUUCUUGUGCUGUUUAGAUGCUUCUCUUGCAUCUUUGCACCUAGAUGACAAGUUCAGAAGGACUUAGUAUAUUUCCAGCCCAGCCCACCCCUAUUUUCAGCAUCAUUUGGUAUGGUCCCAGAUCAGUGCGUGCAUCUUUGUAUGCCAGAGCCCCUGAGAGCUUGCAUUUUGCUUUAUAGAGGCAGGAGAUUCCCAUGUCUGUCUGCUUAAGCCAUCAGAAUCAUCGGGAAACCAAAAGGCUCAACACAUUUUCUUUGGAGGAAAACCAAGCCAGCUUCUGGCUGCAGCCUCGCUUCCUUUGUUCUCCAUCUCAGAAGAUGCACGUGAGGGGAGCUGCCUGGUAACUGGGGUUCCUCUGGACCAGCGUGCUUCUGCCCGUUUGCUCAGUUCUUAAUCAUGUCAUCUCCAGGACUCCAGGAAAACAGUCAGAGGACCCCCUGUAGCUGAACUCGAUACAGAGCACACACAGAAGGCCCUGGAAAUGGAGCACACCCAGCAACUGAAGCUGAAGGAGCGGCAGAAGUUCUUCGAGGAAGCCUUCCAGCAGGACAUGGAACAGUACCUGUCCACGGGCUACCUGCAGAUCGCAGAGAGGCGAGAGCCUAUGGGCAGCAUGUCAUCCAUGGAAGUGAAUGUGGACGUGCUGGAGCAGAUGGACCUGAUGGACAUCUCAGACCAGGAGGCUCUCGAUGUCUUCCUGAACUCCGGCGGAGAGGACAACAUUGUGAUGUCCCCUGGUGUGGAGAUGGAAUCCAACCCCAAUCAGAAUGAAAUGAGUCUUCAGAUUCCAAGUCCCUCAGAAUCAGCAUCCCAGCCACCUGCCUCACCCUCUGCCUGCACUGACCUGGACACUGCUGAUGCCCCCCUCAUCCAGUCUGAUGAGGAGGAGGUACAGGUGGACACGGCCUUGGUCACAUUACACACUGACAGAAAGUCCACCCCAGGUGUCAGUGAUGACAGUGACCAGUGUGACUCAACUCAGGACAUUUAAGUGACUUGUCAGCUGUGCGCAGAAUCCUCCUGCAAAGCCAGGUGCUUAGAGGUUUUCAAUUUUACACACUUGCUAAUGGGAUGUAAGAACCAUUAGAGAAGCGCUCACAAUAAAGCUUAUGGAAUAAACAC